rnacentral:tRNA from 1 species
GGAAAGUUGGCUGAGUGGUCGAAAGCACACGUUUGGAGUACGUGCACACGUUCUACGUGUCUAGGGUUCGAAUCCCUAACUUUCCG